CAUAAUAUAGUCCAAAAAGUGGAAGUUUGUAAACUUUUUAAACAUGCAAAGCCGUGUACACUUGUGCACUUCAAAAAUUCAUUGUAUACUGUACCUUCUUGCACGUCUCUGUUUCCUGUGUGUGUUGUUAGAAAUCAAACUAACUUUAGGAAAAAAUAUGCCAAAAGCAUAUUUACAAUUACUUAAGACCGUUUUUAAUUUAUUUUCUUUAGACCAAAUCCCCUGUACACAUAUACGGACUCAGAGGAUGAGCAGCCUACAAAAAAACGGUUUCCCCAGGCCCCUCGAGUGAAAAUACCAGCCCUCAUCACUCCGCAGUCUGCCCCCCAGCCCACUGAUAGCAACCAUCAUAAUGCCCCACCCAGCUUCCGGCACCUUUCGCCACUCCGGCACAAACCGACACAGCUUUGCGAUCUCGCCAGCAUGCAGAGUCUGAUGUCUUCCCUAUAGAUGAUUCCAGAGACUCUGUGAGGCCACUAUUACAAGGUGAGACGCUUUGCGUUGAUUGGUGCUGCUGGACCACACUGGAGGUGCGAGUCCGCU